UACGUAGGUGGCAAGCGUUGUCCGGAAUUAUUGGGCGUAAAGGGCGCGUAGGCGGUGCGGUAAGUCUGUAGUGAAAUCUCUGGGCUCAACUCAGAGUCUGCUGCAGAAACUGCCGUGCUUGAGUGUGGGAGAGGUGAGUGGAAUUCCCGGUGUAGCGGUGAAAUGCGUAGAUAUUGGGAGGAACACCGGUGGCGAAGGCGACCACCUGGACGAAGAUUGACGCUGAGGCGCGAAAGCGUGGGGAGCAAACAGG
rnacentral:rRNA from 1 species